ACAAGAUUUUGUUUUUAUACUUUUUCCAAGUAUCUCUUUUGUUUCAUUUAAAAGACAAAAUCUCAAAGUUUCUAAAGUUUCUAACUUUUAUGUUGUUGCUAUGUUAAUUUUAUAGGUUGAUUGACAUGGAUGAAAAAAGAAGAGAGGAAGAGAUUUCUAUUGGGAGAUGACCCAACAGCUCUAAAAAACCCAAUCCUCUCAGUUAAACAAAACGUGAAGCUCGGGGAAAAAAGAUACAAAGUGGGAGAGGACAAAGAGAAAAGGGACAAUAAAGAACAGGAGAGGCCCAAGAGCAAGGAGAAGAAAGACAAGUUGAAGACGAUCAAGAAGAACCUCAACCUCAAGAACCUUCAAAGCAAGAUAGAUUGAAAUAAAUAGAGAUCGGAAAACCUCAGAUCUCUUUGAUGAUCCAAUUAAACAGCAUGAAGACACAUGUGGCUCUGCUGUGUUCACUAGACUAACACAAGCAGCCUACAACAAAGACAAACCUACCGCACAACGUCGUAAUUUGUCUUAUCGACAUUUGGCCAACCAUAUCAAGAGUGACAUCGGAAAGAAGGAAUCAUUCCCAUUCAGAAAUUUCAGCAUACAAAAGGACUUCACUAGAGAUAAUGGACUUCGCAGAGAUGUGAGUGUGUGUAUUUAUACUUUACUUUUGUUCCCAAUAACUGUAUUUUAAACUCGAAAAUCUAUAUGUUUGUGGAGGGGGUUACAUCUGGACAAGGAGGGACAACAAAAAUGGACUUUGGCUCACAAAACGACAUGUGGAAACAUGAGAAGUGUUUGCAAAGCUGGAAACCGUUCUUCUUGGAAUUAUUUUAGAGGGCUAAAAAGAACUCCAUCGAAUUAAGAUGAUAAUUUAUAAUGUGCCAAACAAUCGUGAUGAACUAUAUGAGGAACAUGAUUUGCUUGCUUUAGAAAAAGGUAGAACCUGAGAUGAAGUUGAUUUCAUUGUGGUCCAGAAUUCUUAGGGCAUGGAAUAUGACAACAAUAGAUAUUACAGAAUUUUUCUCCCAGAUACUCGUGAUUAUGAUAUAUUCUAGCUAAUGUGGUAGUUUUCUCUUAUCCUUUAUC